rnacentral:rRNA from 1 species
CUCCGAAAGGGUAUCGGAGGCGCCCAAAGGUUCCCUCAGAAUGGACGGAAACCAUUCGAAGAGUGCAAAGGCAGAAGGGAGCUUGACUGCGACACCGACGGGUGGAGCAGGUACGAAAGUAGGGCUUAGUGAUCCGGUGGUAUUAAGUGGGAAUGCCAUCGCUCAACGGAUAAAAGCUACCCUGGGGAUAACAGGCUUAUCACUCCCAAGAGUUCACAUCGACGGAGUGGUUUGGCACCUCGAUGUCGGCUCAUCGCAUCCUGGGGCUGUAGUAGGUCCCAAGGGUUGGGCUGUUCGCCCAUUAAAGCGGUACGCGAGCUGGGUUCAGAACGUCGUGAGACAGUUCGGUCCCUAUCCGGCGUGGGCGUAGGAUAUCUGAGAGGAGCUGUCCUUAGUACGAGAGGACCGGGAUGGACGGGCCGCUGGUGCAUCGGUUAGACUGCCAAGUCUACGGCCGAGUAGCCAAGCCCGGAAGGGAUAAACGCUGAAGGCAUCUAAGCGUGAAGCCCCCCUUAAGAUGAGAUAUCCCAUUCG